UACGGAGGGUGCAAGCGUUAAUCGGAAUUACUGGGCGUAAAGCGCGCGUAGGCGGUCACUUAAGUCGGGUGUGAAAGCCCCGGGCUCAACCUGGGAAUUGCAUUCGAUACUGGGUGACUUGAGUAUAGGAGAGGAUAGUGGAAUUUCAGGUGUAGCGGUGAAAUGCGUAGAGAUCUGAAGGAACAUCAGUGGCGAAGGCGACUGUCUGGCCUAAUACUGACGCUGAGGUGCGAAAGCGUGGGGAGCAAACAGG
rnacentral:rRNA from 1 species